rnacentral:rRNA from 1 species
UACGAAGGGGGCUAGCGUUGCUCGGAAUCACUGGGCGUAAAGCGCACGUAGGCGGCUUUUUAAGUCAGGGGUGAAAUCCUGGAGCUCAACUCCAGAACUGCCUUUGAUACUGAGAAGCUUGAGUCCGGGAGAGGUGAGUGGAACUGCGAGUGUAGAGGUGAAAUUCGUAGAUAUUCGCAAGAACACCAGUGGCGAAGGCGGCUCACUGGCCCAUAACUGACGCUGAGGCACGAAAGCGUGGGGAGCAAACAGG